AAUAAACCGUUGGAUGCCGGUGAUUAUAAAUUGAUUAGUACUUGAGCAAUAAGGAAACUUUUACAAAUAUGUCAAUUGAUAAUUAAAUAUAGCCGACAGGGUAAUCAUUAAUAGGAAGUGAAACGGAAGACACUAGCACAGCAAAGAUCAUCAGGGUUAUGUGACAUCAAGCUGAAGAAUACAGAAAGAAAAGGGCUAUAUAUGCCAAAGACAAAGAAAUCAUUAGGUCUGACCAACGGUCUAAGGUUCAUGGCGGCUCGUGCGUCCUGUCCAGUUUCCAGUGCAUCUACAAACUGCUUGGAGAUGGCCUCUCCGAAUCCAACAUUGUCGCUGCAGCCUCCCCAUAGCCAUCCCUGACCACCUGAGAUGACAAGAAUUGUUGCGUAUAUAUAUUAGUAAAUGUGGCAUAUACUUUUAUAGAAAUUACUUUUGUUAAAUAUUGACAGCAUUUAUUGAAAAAAAUGAUUGUCACAAAAAUAAUUUGCACUUUUCCUUUUGCCAAAAGCAGGAUUAUGGGAAAGGCACUUAAAAUAGAGCCAAAUAUUGGAGUUAUUAGACUAUACGUUAUUAUACUUGUACAUUGCCAUUCAAAAGUUUGAUAAUAAAAUUAUUUCCUAUUUUAUACAAAAAAUUAAAUAAAGUUUAAAUGUGACUGUAAAGAAAGAUAAAUGUAUGACCAUUUCCACAAGAAUAUUAAGCGGCACAACUGUUUUCAAUAUUGAUAAUAAAAAAGAAAUCUGUCUUAAGCACCAAAUCAGCAUAUUAGAAUGAUUUCUGAAGGAUCAUGUGACACUGAAGACUGAAAUAAUGCUGCUGCUGAAAAUUCAGCUUUGCCAUCCCAGGACUAAAUUGCAUUUAACAUAAAAAAUAUAUAUAAAUAUAACUAUUCUAACUGUAUUUUUACUGUUAUAAAUGCAGCCUUGGUAAAUAUGAGAAUAUUACUGACUCCAAACUUUUGAACUGUAUAAUGUAUAAUAUAAACAUAUUUAAAUGAAUUCUUCUGUUAAAACUGGAAAGCUGGAAUGAUGUUCUUGUCAUUUUAGGGUUUUAGUUUUAGGUUUUAGAGAGUCGUGGGAAUAAAGAUGUUCAAUUGAAUAUAACUUUACAAAAUGCACAAAAUAUAGUUAACCAAAAAUAUCCCUUUAAUGCUGACCGACUUUCCAUCUAUGCUGAGAUUUAGUUUAUCACCU